AACGCCAUAAAUGAGAGAGUGUAGAGUGCAAACUAAUAGAAGUGGAAAAUCAACUUGAUGAAGAGCAGAAAAAACGAGAAGUCAUAGAAGCUCGUCUAUUGAGUGAUCAAAAAAUGUUAAAACAGAGCAUGAUGGCACUAGUAUUCUAUAUGCAAAGUUCCAAGGUAUUUAGUUUGUUUAAGACGUUAAAGUUUCAAUUACUUUUUUUUUUUUUUGGCAAAUUCCUGGAAAUCUACUCAACCUGCCGCAGCUUGUUUUUGUUUGGAAUGCGUCUUUUGCUGGACACCACUGUCCAAUCUUCCCAAGUUGAUUUCCUUGCUAUUCCAUCGUCCUUAGAUUUAAUAUCCAUUGAUCCAAUAUCAUGUCUAGCAUUUUCCCCGUUACUGCUGGAAAUUUCAGCGUGCAAACUAGUAUCACGAUCCUGUUUAUCUAAUGAUUGUUUUGAACCUGCUUCUAACGUAUCAGCAACCUUGUUGUUAGCAGAUGUUCCACCAAUUGCACGAGCAUCUCCCUUGCCAAGAAUUCCAGUAGCUUUAUCUCCCUUGCCAAGCUCCUGUCCUUCCCUGUUAACAUCAGUAGCUUUAAAAGCUACUUGAGUAGCCUAUUGGAUUAUUGAAGUUCUUGAUUGGUGAUUUGAUGCUCUUAAAUGUUGGGGACUCUAAUAAAACUUAGAAUAGAUGUGGAACUAAAACUGAAUCUUGGUAUAUCUAACUUUACCUUAUUUGAAGCAGUAGACAUAUUCAGCCUUCUGGUUUUUGUAAUAUCAUUCAGAUUUUACCAACUCUUCCCUUGAGUACUUGAUCCAUGGUUUUCCCUUUUUCAAAAAGGAGUAAAGGUUUUUCCCUUCUCUUUUUCUUCCCAGGGGACGGGGGACAUGAUUAUAAUGAUUUUAUC
rnacentral:lncRNA from 1 species